rnacentral:rRNA from 1 species
AACGAACGCUGGCGGCAUGCCUAACACAUGCAAGUCGAACGAGACCUUCGGGUCUAGUGGCGCACGGGUGCGUAACGCGUGGGAACCUGCCCUUAGGUUCGGAAUAACUCCCCGAAAGGGGUGCUAAUACCGGAUAAUGUCUUCGGACCAAAGAUCUAUCGCCUUUGGAUGGGCCCGCGUUGGAUUAGCUAGUUGGUAGGGUAAAAGCCUACCAAGGCGACGAUCCAUAGCUGGUCUGAGAGGAUGAUAAGCCACACUGGGACUGAGACACGGCCCAGACUCCUACGGGAGGCAGCAGUGGGGAAUAUUGGACAAUGGGCGAAAGCCUGAUCCAGCAAUGCCGCGUGAGUGAUGAAGGCCUUAGGGUUGUAAAGCUCUUUUACCCGGGAUGAUAAUGACAGUACCGGGAGAAUAAGCUCCGGCUAACUCCGUG